AUAGAGAAAGAUAAAUAAUGUUUUGAUGUGAAUUUGAAUCGAGCCAUGAAAUACACAUAUGAUGUUUCUCAAUUAAAAAUAUAAUUUAAGUGAAGUCAUAGGUUUGUCGUAGUACCACUUAGUUUUGUGUAAAACUGCUCAGUGAACUACAUCUCCCAGUGGACUACAUCUCUCAGUGGACUACAUCUCUCAAGGAACUACAUCUCUCAAGGAACUACAACUCUCAGUGAACUACAUCUCUCAGUGAACUACAACUCUCAGAGGACUACAUCUCUCAGGGAACUACAUCUCUCAGUGGACUACUUCUCUCAGUGAACUAUAUCUCUCAGUGGACUACAUCUCUCAGUGGACUACAUCUCUCAGUGGACUACAACUCUCAAUGAACUACAUCUCUUAGUGAACUACAUCUCUCAGUGAACUACAUCUCUCAGUGAACUACAACUCUCAGUGGACUACA